AUUGAACGCUGGCGGCAUGCCUUACACAUGCAAGUCGAACGGUAACGGGCCUUCGGGUGCCGACGAGUGGCGAACGGGUGAGUAAUGCAUCGGAACGUACCUUUCAGUGGGGGAUAACGUAGCGAAAGUUACGCUAAUACCGCAUAUUCUGUGAGCAGGAAAGCAGGGGAUCGCAAGACCUUGCGCUGAUUGAGCGGCCGAUGUCAGAUUAGCUAGUUGGUGAGGUAAAGGCUCACCAAGGCGACGAUCUGUAGCGGGUCUGAGAGGAUGAUCCGCCACACUGGAACUGAGACACGGUCCAGACUCCUACGGGAGGCAGCAGUGAGGAAUAUUGGUCAAUGGGUGAGAGCCUGAACCAGCCAUCCCGCGUGCAGGAUGACGGUCCUAGUGAUUGUAAACUGCUUUUCUAUGAGAUGAAUAAGAAUUACGUGUAGUUCGAUGACCGUAUUAUAGGAAUAAGCAUCGGCU
rnacentral:rRNA from 1 species